GGUUGUUUGUGCCCUCCAAGAGUCUGUUCCUCAGUCCUCUUGUUAUUUUAAAUAAUGGCAACUCACUGGAUCCAUGGUUUUGGUUUUGCUCUCCUUGCUGUUCUGCCUGAGACCCGAGUUUGAGAAUAUUGCUUCCAAAACAGCCACGAUUUUUGGAUUUCCCUAGUGGUCCAGUGGUUUAGAAUCUGCCUGCCCAUGCAGGGGACACAGGUUUGAUCCCUGGUUAGGAAACAUUCCACAGGCUUCAGAGCAACUAAGCUGGUGAGCCACAGCUACUGAAGCCUGCCUGGCCUAGAGCCUGCUUGCUGUCAACGAAACCAUCCGCAGUGAGAAGCCCCUGCGCCACAACAGAGAGCCUGGCUCCCUGCAACCAGAGAAAGCCCUCAGGUAGCAAGGAAGACCAAGCACAGACAAAAAUAAAAAUAAAUUUUUUUAAAUGUAUUUUUAAAGAGUGAAGAUUUUUAUCUUGCUUCUUCCCGUGCCGUUUCCUCACUGUCGAGUCUGGUGCCUGGCACACCAGGUCGGCACUCCAGAAUUACUUGAUGAAUGAGUGAAUUACUUGAUGAAUGAGUGAAUGACUUGGGCUAACGCUACCUUAAAGCAUAUUGUGAAAGAUAAAACGAAUGAGCAAAACAUAAAUUCUGAUUAGGCGGUUGUUGAACUGGACCUGUGUAACAUGCUCUGCCAAACUUUUCCUUCCGCAUCUCCGUUUGCUUUGCAUCCCUGCCAAAAAAUAACAUUGGUCCCUGCUGUGGAGCCAGGAUGAGGCAACCCCCCCGCAGGGCAGCGGCCAGGAAGGACUCCUGCGAAAGGCGGCCGCGUUGGUCACCCAGCCUCCAGCCUCCGGUCCGAAAUGCAGAGAGCCUGAAACAAUGCGCAGAGUAGCCGGGCUGAGAACAAGGGACAGCUCUGUCCCUCUCUCGCUGGCGUUUAUGGAAGGAAGCCUGGCUGUCUGUUUUUAAGUAAACAGACUUGCUUUAAUGGAGCAAUCUGUCAAAAUAAGCCGAGCUGCUAGGGCGUGGGGGAGUGGGGGGAGGGUGCCGCACCGCUUCCGUCUCCCGUGGGAGCUGUUUAUUUGAGGAUGACAAAUGCGAGCGAGGCAGAAGCCUGCGGUAAUGACACUCAAAGCAAGAAAAAUAAUAGCGUGUGGCUUAGGAUGGGCUCAUCUUCACUCGAUGUAUAUAUGGCUUUUGUGUGUUUAAAGAACCAGCCCCUUCUAUUUGCAUCUCAAACACCCCCGCCCAGGAGCAGAAGAGCGCAGGAGCUUUACAGGCAGCUUCUGGUCCCUGGGUUUUGCAGGAACGGGGGAGGUAACCAAGAACAGAUGAAUGAGCCAAAGUUUAGUCUCUACAGGCUUUCUCCCUCUUCUACUAAUGGAGGUGUGACAAAAGCACUAAUUUGCUUCAUCACCACGCAGUGCUUAAUAAAUCACAUGUUUGCAUCGUGAGAUGCAUGGGGUGGGACACGGUGCAGAGAAGUGUGGAGAGCAGAAAUUACCAAAUACCCGCAUGAAGACUCACAUUUUGGACUUUACUCAGAAUAUUCGCUGCUUGUGAAACAACACAAUGAAAGGGCCAGGUGUAGUUUAACCCUUUUAGUUUGUGCCAGGACCUUGAAUUCUUUGCAAAGAAGAAAAGGAUUUAAUGUAAACUGCAAACGCUUUAAUCAAGUGGCUUUCUUCGCAUACCGUGAAAGCAUUUUGAAACAUUCAAGUAGGAAAAAAAAAAGUCCUUAUUUUCUGAAAAUAUAACCUCUUAAACACCCAGGACGCUGCCAAACCAAGUCCCAUCAAGUAACAAGGCACAAUAAGAAGCUUAAAAAAGGUAAGGAUUAAGUUACAUUUGUAUGAAUAAGCUCAUUUUUGUUGUUCUGGUCUCAAUCUUUAAAUGAUCCUAUCUCCUGCACGUAAGGUGUCUCCUUGUUAAAUUAUACAUUACUAUUCUCAGUGUGGGUCCCAGUGAGACCCAACAUGUCCCCAGGGCUCACCAACCUUUGGUAAGAACCACAUCAAUAGCAAUCACUCAGAGUUCACUUGCCCAUUGUCCGCACCUGCAGGGACAGCCCCUCACCCCAACCAGGUGCUCCUGAGAUGCCCUGGGCUCCUCUCUCUUGGAGAUGGGAAGUCUGUACCUGUUCCCUCCACAUGAGCACAGAUUCUGCCCCACUACUGGCACUUUCUGAGAGGAUGGUGUUCUUGUCCCAGGACUAUCCGCAGGCUCCCAAAUCUGCAAAACACACCAGCUGC